rnacentral:rRNA from 1 species
AUUGAACGCUGGCGGUAGGCCUAACACAUGCAAGUCGAACGAGUGGCGGACGGGUGAGUAAUGUCUGGGAAACUGCCCGAUGGAGGGGGAUAACUACUGGAAACGGUAGCUAAUACCGCAUACCAUCGGAUGUGCCCAGAUGGGAUUAGCUAGUAGGUGGGGUAACGGCUCACCUGGGCGACGAGUCCUAGCUGGUCUGCGAGGAUGACCAGCAACACUGGAAGUGAGACACGGUCCAGAAGCCUACGUGAGGCAGCAGUGGGGAAUAUUGCACAAUGGGCGCAAGCCGGAUGCAGCCAGGCCGCGUGUAUGAAGAAGGCCUUCGGGUUGUAAAGUACGUGCAGCGAGGAGGCGUUACUCGCAGAAGAAGCACCGGCUAACUCCGUGCCAGCAGCCGCGGUAAUAC